rnacentral:rRNA from 12 species
AUCGAUCAAGGAUCGUGUCACAAGCGAAAUCGACUCCUUCAUUAUCUAAAGAGUUCGAUUCAAACUCUAGUUUCAGAACAUGCAGAACUUAACUUUGAAAAUGGUGGCAUUGGCGCUGCGAAGAAAAAUGUGAUCUUAUCAGGCUCGGCUCCUUUGGUCCAGAAUUUAGUGAUGGCUUUGGAGCAGUGCUUUUUUCACCGAAUGAAAAUUCAAAACAACGAAGAGAUGAAAAGAUUCGCGGGAAUUUUGAUCGGACUG